AAUUUGUUGAGGGCAAAUAAAAUGAAUAUGGGCGUCUAUGCCGCCAGCCGUCAUUAUUUGGGCUUCACCAGCAAUAAUUUCGGUGCCCGGUCCAAUCUCAAUAUCUACAUUGUCUUGUAUAUCAGGGUUGCCGGCUUUGCCUAUAAUAGCAAUGCGACCAUCUUUAACACCUACAUCGGCUUUCACUAUUCCCCAAUGAUCAAGAAUAACCACAUUGGUUAUGACUAGGUCAGGGGUGUUGGCGCAACUGCCUUGGCUUUGCCCCAUGCCAUCGCG
rnacentral:sRNA from 1 species